AGAGUUUGAUCAUGGCUCAGGACGAACGCUAGCGGCGUGCCUAAGAAAUGCAAGUCGAGCGAGGUUAGAGAGCUUGCUCUCGAAGCCUAGCGGCGAACGGUCGCGUAACACGUAGGCAACCUGCCCUAAAGUGGGGGAUAGCCCUCCGAAAGGAGGAUUAAUACCGCAUGUGGAUGCUUUCUCGCAUGUGAGAGCAUCUAAAGCAGCAAUGCGCUUUAGGAUGGGCUUGCGGCCUAUCAGCUAGUUGGCGAGGUAACGGCUCACCAAGGCGACGACGGGUAGCUGGUCUGAGAGGAUGGUCAGCCGGACUGGGACUGAGAUACGGCCCAGACUCCUACGGGGGGCAGCAAUUAGGAAUCUUGCGCAAUGGGCGAAAGCCUGACGCAGCGACGCCGCGUGACUGAUGAAGUCUUUCGGGAUGUAAAGGUCUUUUUUGGGGGAAGAAGGAUGUGACGGUACCCCAAGAAUAAGCCCCGGCUAACUACGUGCCAGCAGCCGCGGUAAUACGUAGGGGGCGAGCGUUGUCCGAAUUCACUGGGCGUAAAGCGCGCGUAGGCGGAUUUUUAAGUUGUGGGUGAAAUGCCGAGGCUCAACCUCGGAACUGCCUGCAAAACUGGGAGUCUUGAGGUAUGGAGAGGGAAGUGGAAUUCCAGGUGUAGCGGUGAAAUGCGUAGAUAUCUGGAGGAACACCCGUGGCGAAGGCGGCUUCCUGGCCAUAUCCUGACGCUGAGGUGCGAAAGCUAGGGGAGCGAACGGGAUUAGAUACCCCGGUAGUCCUA
rnacentral:rRNA from 1 species